GCAAACUUGGUCAUUUAGAGGAAGUAAAAGUCGUAACAAGGUUUCCGUAGGUGAACCUGCGGAAGGAUCAUUAUAAAAUUUUGUAAAGUGAUCCUGCCGCCGAAAGGCGGGAGGAUCGCUUUAUAAAAAAAUCUCUUGAUUCACUCUGUGUGCACUCAUCUGGAACCAUUCUCUCUUUACUGAGGAAUGGCUCCAUUUCUUACGCUUUACUUUUUGUCUGAUCUUCUAAAAAAAAUGAUAAUACAACUUUCAACAACGGAUCUCUUGGCUCUCGCAUCGAUGAAGAACGCAGC
rnacentral:misc_RNA from 1 species